CACGGGGGGAGCAAGCGUUGUUCGGAAUCACUGGGCGUAAAGGGCGUGUAGGCGGUCAGGUAAGUGGAAUGUGAAAUCCCUCGGCUCACCCGAGGACCUGCAUCCCAAACUGCCUGGCUUGAGUAUGGGAGAGGAUGAGGGAAUUCCUGGUGUAGCGGUGAAAUGCGUAGAUAUCAGGAGGAACACCGGUGGCGAAGGCGCUCAUCUGGCCCAAUACUGACGCUGAGAAGCGAAAGCAUGGGGAGCGAACAGG
rnacentral:rRNA from 1 species